rnacentral:rRNA from 1 species
GAUGAACGCUGGCGGCGUGCCUAAUACAUGCCAGUCGAGCGAACAGACGAGGAGCUUGCUCCUCUGACGUUAGCGGCGGACGGGUGAGUAACACGUGGAUAACCUACCUAUAAGACUGGGAUAACUUCGGGAAACCGGAGCUAAUACCGGAUAAUAUCUUUAAACGCAUGGUUCAAUAGUGAAAGACGGUUUUGCUUUCACUUAUAGAUGGAUCCGCGCCGCAUUAGCUAGUUGGUAAGGUAACGGCUUACAAAGGCGACGAUGCGUAGCCGACCUGAGAGGGUGAUCGGCCACACUGGAACUGAGACACGGUCCAGACUCCUACGGGAGGCAGCGGUAGGGAAUCUUCCGCAAUGGGCGAAAGCCGGACGGGGCAACGCCGCGUGAGUGAUGAAGGUCUUCGGAUCGUAAAACUCUGUUAUUAGGGAGGAACAAAUGUGUAAGUAACUAUGCACGUCGUGACGGUACCUAAUCAGAAAGCCACGGCUAACUACGUG